CGGCUCAGUAACACGUGGAUAACCUACCCUUGAGUUGGGAAUAAACCCGGGAAACUGGGUAUAAUACCCGAUAGAUCUCGACUGCUGGAAUGCAUCGAGAUCCAAAGCUCCGGCGCUCAAGGAUGGAUCUGCGGCCUAUCAGGUAGUAGUGGGUGUAGCGUACCUACUAGCCUACGACGGGUACGGGUUGUGAGAGCAAGAGCCCGGAGAUGGAUUCUGAGACACGAAUCCAGGCCCUACGGGGUGCAGCAGGCGCGAAAACUUUACAAUGCUGGAAACAGCGAUAAGGGGACCUCGAGUGCCAGGUUACAAAUCUGGCUGUAGUGAUGCCUAAAAAGCAUUGCAUAGCAAGGGCCGGGCAAGACCGGUGCCAGCCGCCGCGGUAACACCGGCGGCUCGAGUGGUAACCGUUAUUAUUGGGUCUAGAGGGUCUGUAGCCGGCCGGAUAAGUCUCUUGGGAAAUCUGGCAGCUUAACUGUCAGGCUUUCAGGAGAUACUGUCUGGCUCGAGGCCGGGAGAGGUGAGAGGUACUUCAGGGGUAGGGGUGAAAUCUUGUAAUCCUUGAAGGACCACCAGUGGCGAAGGCGUCUCACCAGAACGGACCUGACGGCAAGGGACGAAAGCUAGGGGCACGAACCGGA
rnacentral:rRNA from 1 species